CUGCGGCCUGGACCUGAACCAGCCCCACCAAAACCCCACACAGAGAUGUCAUAAACCCAUCUUUGCACCACUGCCCAAGUCCCAGCACCAUGACUCGGCCCUGACCUGGGCUGGACCUGACACCCACAUGGCAAAGCCGGCAUUUAGUCCCUUCAUCCCGGCACCAAGUAUCUCGUCUCAAUUUAAUUUCACAGUUGUAAUGGAUUUUUCAAAAAUAUUCAAGAACAUAUUUACUUUCCAACAUCUUAUUUCCUUUCACAUUUGAAAAAACUUUCUAUCUAAUCCCCCAAGUCAUCCUGCAGUCUGAAUAAUUUCAGGUUUUUAAUCAAUAGCUGUCAGACUUGUCAAAUUACUUUAGGGACCACAAAGCAAUUUUUAAACAUUCAUAAACCCUCAUAGAACAGUUAAGUGCACUGAAUUUUAAAAGAAAGAGGAACUGAAUAACACUGAUCAAACAGGAUUAUAUUCUGGCAAAUUAUAAAUUAGUUUUUUAUGAAUCAUCUCACAGCUACUUAUCUAGUGCCAGGCUUUCACUGCCUGUAGGAAAGCGAGCUGCGUGUUCACCAUUCGAGAAAGAAGCCCUUUUUUCUUAAGCUCUCAGGCACCUCUGUGGGAGCAGGUUGCAGCCAACUUUUUCUGCUGUCCUUCAGGAAACAACAUCAUUAGCUACUUCGUGGCUCUCUGGAGCUAUCAGCACUGCUCUACGAGCCCUUCCCGGUAAACCACGUCGGCGCAGCAAGGCCAACAGGGGGUUUCCUGGAGUCGUCCGGUCCCUGCUUGUGCACAUUGCAGCUUCAUGGCAAAAAUCACUUUACACUUUUUAUUUCUGAUUGCUAAGACGAUGGUGGGAAAGCCUGGUCUCCAGCAGGUGUGCGAGGGCUGGGUCACCCAAGCCUGAACGACUUUCUGUAAUGGUGCUGAAUGUAUGAGUUUCAGCCCUGAUGCAUCAUCCCCACGGGCCCACUGCCAGCACUGCCUCCGCGGCCACGCCACUCCAGGUCCGCGCUGUGAGCCCCCUCCAUUCUGCUACCACGAUGUCUACACGUUGCACCCGCGCACCCGCCCAGUAAGGUGACGCUACCGGAGGAUGGACCUCGUCUUUGCAAAUGCAGUCGAGCUCCACUGGGACAUGCUCGCUAGCUAACAGGCAGGAGGCACAUGUACAGCUUGGCUUUGCUUUCAGGCCGGUAACACUCGCAUUAAUAGGAAAAAUGCAUUGUGCGGAGUUAAUGACUGCCAGUAAAUCCAACAAUGCAGACUGGGGAAGUCAUGACCGAGCAGUGGGACCAUUACAGGGCUGUGUGGGAACCCAUGUGAAACUAGCUGUUAGUGCCAGUUUCCAAGGAAAAGUGCUAUUAUUGUCUCAAAAAUCUGACUCCACGCAUCCAAGGGGGAUGAACCAGCCACGGGUCCUGAACUCUCUUGUGCCCUCUAAUGAGGUUUCUUUUAGGUCGGGACUGAAUGGCAUUGACAGGGCCAUACGGAGAGCGUGCACUGCUGUUGCCUGCACCAUACCCGCGCCGGCGAUGAAGAGAGGCCAGCAGUCUCUAGCAGCAGCAAACACCUAUCGCCAGCCCUACAUUUGCACGCAACGCGUCAUCACAGCAUGCUCCCUAAUUGCAAGGAUGCGGCUGAGACAAGGAAAAUGUGGCAGCUUUUUGGCUCCAUCAGGAACAUGGGAAACCUUCCAGGAAAAAGCACAGCUCGGAUCACAAAGACGAGACUAAGGAGGAUCAAAAGAAUGGAACAUUUUUACCCACCAUAAGCAGAACAGAGUCCAAAUCCCCCUCCCUUGCUCUGCCCUCAUUGCCCUCCAGCUCAGCCUUCAUCUUCCACUUCCUCAGGAGCAACAAACACUCAUUUGUGCCUUUUAGCAGUGAAGCAGCGAGGCCUUCUUCAUGCAGGAAGGCUCCUUCAGUGCGGCGCGCAUUUCGGUACCGCUGCAGGGACUGAGCACAGCACACGCGGGUUGCCUGGUUGGACUUUCGAGGGCAGUUUAAUCCCAGCUGCUGCUGGAGGGGUACUG